UACGUAGGGACCGAGCGUUGUCCGGAAUCAUUGGGCGUAAAGAGCGUGUAGGCGGCCAACUAAGUCCUGCGUGAAAUCUCGGGGCUCAACCCCGAGCGGUCGUGGGAAACUGGUUGGCUAGAGUGCGGGAGAGGAGAGUGGAAUUCCUGGUGUAGCGGUGAAAUGCGUAGAGAUCCGGAGGAACACCAGAGGCGAAGGCGGCCUACUGGGUCAGUACUGACGCUGAGCCGCGAAAGCCAGGGGAGCGAACGGG
rnacentral:rRNA from 1 species